rnacentral:rRNA from 1 species
UACGUAGGGUGCGAGCGUUGUCCGGAAUUAUUGGGCGUAAAGAACUCGUAGGCGGUGUGUCGCGUCGGUCGUGAAAACUUGGGGCUUAACCCUGAGCUUGCGGUCGAUACGGGCAUCACUGGAGUUCGGCAGGGGAGACUGGAAUUCCUGGUGUAGCGGUGAAAUGCGCAGAUAUCAGGAGGAACACCGGUGGCGAAGGCGGGUCUCUGGGCCGAUACUGACGCUGAGGAGCGAAAGCGUGGGGAGCGAACAGG